rnacentral:rRNA from 1 species
GACAGAGGGACCUAGCGUUGUUCGGAUUUACUGGGCGUAAAGGGUGCGUAGGUGGUUAUCUAAGUAGAGUGUUAAAGCCCCCAGGCUCAACCUGGGAAUCGCAUUCUAUACUGGAUGACUAGAGUAUGGGAGAGGAAAAGUGGAAUUCCUAGUGUAGAGGUGGAAUUCGUAGAUAUUAGGAGGAACACCAGAGGCGAAGGCGGCUUUCUGGCCCAUUACUGACACUGAGGCACGAAAGCGUGGGGAGCAAACAGG